rnacentral:lncRNA from 1 species
GAUUUAAUUUUGGUACCUGGUAUCUGUCUAGAAAAUUGUCCAUUUCAUCCAAACUUUCCAGUUUUAUUCAGUAUAGGCUUUUGUAGUAGGAUCUGAUGAUUUUUUUUGAAUUUUCUCAGUUUCCGUUAUGUCUCCCUUUUCGUUUCUGAUUUUAUUAAUUUGGUUACUUUCUGUGUGCCCUCUGGUUUGUCUGGCUAAGGGUUUAUCUAUCUUGUUGAUUUUCUCAAAGAACCAGCUCCUGGUUUUUUUAUGUGUUUUUUUUUUUUUCCCUAUAGUUCUUUUUGUUUCCACUUGGUUGAUUUCAGCCCUGAGAUUCAUUAUUUCCUGCCAUCUACUCCUUUUGGGUGUAAUUGCUUCUGUUUGUUCUAGAGCUUUCAGAUGGGCUGUCAAGCUGCUAGUGUAAACUUUCUCCGGGUUCUUUUUGGAGGCACUUAGAGCUGUGAAUUUUCUUCUUAGCACUGCUUUCAUUGUGUCUCAUAAGUUUUGGUAUGUUAUGCCUUCAUGUAUAAUAUGGUUUUGAUCCACAUUGGAUAUCAUAUUUUGUAAUUCCAAGCAACUACUUGACAUUAUAGAUAGAAUUUUCUUCCUUUAUCUUUUGAAGUAGUUUCCUUUAAGAAUGUAUUUGAAGGAUUUUUCUAAGUCUUUGUUCUAUUUUGUGUGUAAAGUGUCUCCUGUUUAGGUGGAAAGGCAGGCUUAUCAUUGAUUUUUAUUUCUAUAAGCCCACUUGAGGAUAUUUGUUGUUGUUAUCAUUUUGCCUACAUCUACAAAUGGUAAUGUAAUUUUUAACAUUCUUUACUGUUGCUUUUCCUACUUCUCUGAAUCUUGAUUUACACAAUAGUGUAUGCAUGACACCAAUCCAGUACUACUGUUUAGCAGAAAUGUUCACAUAAGUUUAUAAAAUAUCUGUUAUGUUACUACUCUUGCUAUGUAUUAUGUGACAUACAUUAUAACUGUUCAAGUUUUUGUGUGUUAGAAAAUUUACAAAUUAAUUUCAUGUAUAUUACAGAAAAUGCAUAGUUUGGGAAAUUGAUACCUUAGACCCACUUUAUGGUCAAGAAAAGUAAGCAUGAAUUAUUUUACC